ACCUGGUUGAUCUUGCCAGUAGUCAUAUGCUUGUCUCACAGAUUAAGCCAUGCAAGUGAAAGUACAUAUGUAAAUAAUAUAUUGAAACUGCGAACGGCUCAUUAAAACAGUUAUAAUCUACUUGAUGUUUUUAAUAUAAGGAUAACUACGGAAAAUCUGUAGCUAAUACUUGUGAAAAUACCUUUUGAUAUAUACAUAUGUAUGUAUCAUUAAGGUAUGUAUUUGUUAGAUAUAAGAAUAAAAUAAAUAUAAUUGAAUUAUAACAAAGAAGAAACACAUAAAAUAUGUGUAUUAUCAAUCGAGUAUCUGACCUAUCAGCUUUUGAUGUUAGGGUAUUGACCUAACAUGGCUAUGACGGGUAACGGGGAAUUAGAGUUCGAUUCCGGAGAGGGAGCCUGAGAAAUAGCUACCACAUCUAAGGAAGGCAGCAGGCGCGUAAAUUACCCAAUUCUAAAAAAGAGAGGUAGUGACAAGAAAUAACAAUACAAUAUCGAAAAAUGAUUUUGUAAUUGGAAUGAUAGGAAUUUACAAGGUUCCUAGAGAAACAAUUGGAGGGCAAGUCUGGUGCCAGCAGCCGCGGUAAUUCCAGCUCCAAUAGCAUAUAUUAAAAUUGUUGCAGUUAAAACGUUCGUAGUUGAAUAUUAAAGAAUCCGAUGUUUCAUUUAAACUGGUUUGGGAAAACCAAAUAUAUUAUAUAUUUUGCUUUGUUCAAAAUAAGGUUUUCUAAUAAAUUAUGUUUUUAUCAGAUAUGACAGAAUCUUUUUUAAAAUCUCUUCAAUAUGCUUUUAUUGCUUUUGAGAGGUUUUGUUACUUUGAGUAAAAUUAAGUGUUCAUAACAGACGGGUAGUCAUGAUUGAGUUCAUUGUGUUUGAAUACUACAGCAUGGAAUAACAAAUAUGAAUAAGCUAAUUAUUUUUUUUUUUCAUAAUUUUUUUUGAUAUUCUUAUUAGCUUAGUUACGAUUAAUAGGAGUAGCUUUGGGGGCAUUCGUAUUCAGAUGUCAGAGGUGAAAUUCUAAGAUUUUCUGGAGACGGACUACUGCGAAAGCAUUUGCCUAAUCUAUUUCCAUUAAUCAAGAACGAAAGUUAAGGGAGUGAAGACGAUCAGAUACCGUCGUAAUCUUAACCAUAAACUAUACCGACUAGGUGUUGGAUGAAUAUAAAAAAUAUAUAAAUAUGUAGCAUUUCUUAGGGAAUGUUGAUUUUAUAUUAGAAUUGCUUCCUUCAGUACCUUAUGAGAAAUCAAAGUCUUUGGGUUCUGGGGCGAGUAUUCGCGCAAGCGAGAAAGUUAAAAGAAUUGACGGAAGGGCACCACCAGGCGUGGAGCUUGCGGCUUAAUUUGACUCAACACGGGAAAACUCACUAGUUUAAGACAAGAGUAGGAUUGACAGAUUAAUAGCUCUUUCUUGAUUUCUUGGAUGGUGAUGCAUGGCCGUUUUUAGUUCGUGAAUAUGAUUUGUCUGGUUAAUUCCGAUAACGAACGAGAUCUUAACCUGCUAAUUAGCGGUAAGUACACUAUAUUUUUAUUUGAAAUUGAAUAUAGGUAAUUAUACAUGUUUAUUCAGUGUUCAAAUUAGGAUAUUUUUUUAUUAAAAUAUUCUUUUCCCUGUUCUACUAUAAUAAUUUGUUUUUUUUUACUCUAUUUCUCUCUUCUUUUAAGAAUGUACUUGUUUGAUUAAAUAAAGCUUCUUAGAGGAACAGUGUGUAUCUAACACAAGGAAGUUUAAGGCAACAACAGGUCUGUGAUGUCCUUAGAUAAACUAGGCUGCACGCGUGCUACAAUGAUAUAUAUAACAAGUUGUUAAAAAUGUACUUAUAAAUAAGUGUGUACAGUUUUUCCUGUACUGAAAAGUAUAGGUAAUCUUUAUCAGUAUAUAUCGUAAUUGGGAUAGAUUAUUGCAAUUAUUAAUCUUGAACGAGGAAUGCCUAGUAAGCAUGAUUCAUUAGAUUGUGCUGACUACGUCCCUGCCCUUUGUACACACCGCCCGUCGCUCCUACCGAUUGAAAGAUAUGAUAAAUUGUUUGGAUAUGAAUUAAAAUAAUGAAAUUUUAUAUUUCUGAUUUUUUCUAGAAGAACUGUAAAUCCUAUCUUUUAAAGGAAGGAGAAGUCGUAACAAGGUUUCCGUAGGUGAACCUGCGGAAGGAUCAUUA
rnacentral:rRNA from 1 species